rnacentral:tRNA from 1 species
GCGCACUUAGCUCAGUGGUUAGAGCACCCUUCUAGAGUUUGGGGAAAACAGUUCACAGGUUUGAGUCCUGUAGUGCACA